GGACCCGUGGCUCAGCGGUUAGAGCACUCGGUUCACAUCCGAGGGGUCGCUGGUUCGAAUCCAGCCGGGUCCA
rnacentral:tRNA from 2 species